GCUGGGAAUAGCUUUGUAUCAUACGUUCACGUUUCUCGUAUGAUAAGAUCGACCAAUUCUUGAAUAUUAAAAGGAAUAACAUUGCUAACGUUAUAUUUUCGGCUAACAUUUAUCUUGCGUUUUAUUCUUUUGCAAAUAAUAUACAAAUACAAACGGUGGACAAGUGAACAAUUCGCUUCUCAAUCGUACUUUGUUUCAAAUAGAAAUUCAUAACUGUUUUCUAAAAAUUAAUUAUUUGGCUAUGCUGACUGCACUCGUGUAUUACUUAUACUUAAGAAAUUAAUAAACCCAUAAAUAU